GGGCCGUUCGUUCAGUGGUAGGACACCUCAUUUGCAAUGAGGAGAUCGCCGGUUCGAGUCCGGCACGGUCCA
rnacentral:tRNA from 1 species